UCCAUAUUGAACAUAUGAAGUGCUGGCUGUUUUCCGCGAAGCAGUCAGAAAAGGGAAUCAGGUGAAAGUCCUGAGCGAUCCGGUCACUGUAACAGAGGAGCAAUCUUUCAGAAACCAUUGUACAUAUGUAUGAGAAGGGGAAAGAGAACAUUGAUUCUGGAGCCAGGAAACCUGCUUUGUAUGGCGAGGUUAA
rfam:Blautia sp. CAG:257 genomic scaffold, scf2